ensembl:lncRNA
CUAAUGGAGAGAAGUCUGUGUAAAAUGGGAGUCUUGGCAGUCACACAGUGAGGAUGGGACCUGCGCUGUUUAACCUGACCUGAAGGAGAGCAGUGGCUUUCAGUGAGAAGAUCUGGCCAGUGAUUGUAUGUAUGUAAGGGGCUCUAGCGGAGCAUGUGAUGUCACAGGUGCAGGAGGGUUACUUGAGGAUGCUUGUUGGCCUAUUCAAUAUCCACUUAUGUGAGACAAAGAACGUGAACGCAGCAGGAAUAGUCGUUUGGUUGCCAUGGGAACAUUCCUCAUUUCUGCACAGCACAUGCGUGGUGAUGUACAGCAAUACUGGAAGCAGGAAUUAUGAGAACAGCUGCAUUUGACUGGAGACAUUGGACAAGGCUGAAUUUGGACACCAGGUUUGUAGAUUGAUGGCAAUCACUGUGUUGUAUAUCUUACUGGGACUCAAAAGCAGGUGACUUGUCAAAGUCAGUCCUCGACUGCUCUGCUUUUUUGAAGCACGAUAAGCUCUUCUGUGGACAUUUUGUUCCUUCUGUAGUUUUAAGAUGCAACACAGCUGUAUUUCAUGAGAUGCCAGGCAUCCCGCCGGGUAGUGAUGCCAAGGGGGGCUGAUAUAUGACGUAAUGACAUUCUUUCGAGUCUGGUUAUAUUUUCCCGCCUCUGACUUUGACAUGUUGCACUGGUUGUUGUUGUUGUAGAUGCUUUAACGCAGAUGCUUCUCUGGUCAUCCAACAGAUGAUCGAAGGUCAAACUUGGACACUUGCAGUCUUUC